AUGAGAGCUGCCUGGGAUAUUGCGCAAGAAUCAAAGUUCAGACCUUUAGAGGAUAAUCUGUAUACUGUGCAAUUUACAUGCUUAGGUGAUUGGGAGUGGGUCAUGCAAGAUGGACCUUGGAACUUCCGAGGUGACGCGGUGACCCUAGUGCCAUAUGAUGGAGUCACCAAGCCGUCCCUGAUCAAGCUUGACUAUGUGGACAUCUGGGCUCAGAUACAUGAUGUGCCUGACCUCUAUGCGCAUCUAGUCGGCCCACUUGCUUCCAAGGUGGGAGAGGUACUGCAUGUGGAGCAGCCAUCACAUGAUUUCACGGGGAAUUUUUACCGCGUCUGGGUUCAUAUCAAGGUAGAUAAACCUCUCAAGAAUGCAGUUUCGAUGAUUAGAGAUGGCAAGCGCCAAAUCUACAGAGUUAAGUACGAGAGGUUGCCGGACUGGUGCGCGAUCUGUGGCAUGUUGGGACACCUUUUCAAGGAGCAUGGUGAUGGCAUACAUCAUCCCUCGGCGCUGGUUUUUAAAGAUCUGAGAGCUAGCUGGUACCUGCGAUCUGGAAAGGGACCUAGAGAAGGUAGAGGACGCCGGGGGGGGGGGUCGCCGUGGUGGCCGAUCUGGUGGUCGCACAAAGUCCUAUGA
rnacentral:rRNA from 1 species